UGGUGUACCUUUGAUGAAUAGGGAAUAAUCAUUCAAAGAAUGUCUAUAGCCUCUGGAAUAUAUGGCAGAAGACAACUUGGCAUACCAUUGUCUGGAUGCCUGUCUGAGCCCACUACAGGGAUUUGUUUAAUUUGCAAACAAGGGGAGCAGAGGCAGAGGAGGCAGAAACAGAGUCAGGAGCAGAAACAGUCAAACCUGGAGGGAGCUUCAU
rnacentral:lncRNA from 1 species